UCUCUGUUUGUCCCUCUUUCAAUUUGAUUUGCCUAUUUCUAUUUGCAUUCUUCAUUCUUUCAAUAUGGCAUCUUCAGGUUUUGACCAGUUAUGCCAGGAAGCUGCAACUAUUUCAAAGCAUUUUGAAAUGAAAGCUGACAAUGCUGAACUUGAAGCAGCUAACAGGGAGGCUGAAGAAAUUCUACAAAUGUUCAAUCCUCCACUGCUGAAAAAGAAGACCAAACGAGUGAUUUCCUGGACUCAACAGACACUGUGAACUUUGCACUGCAUUUCAAAGCCAGCUUCUCAGCCGCAACACCGAGAACCAGAGUUGAGGUCAAUGUACUGCUGAGAAAAGUGCAAGAUCUGUUUAACCAAAAAUAUAAGGAUGCCGGAGGUACUGGAAGGCUCCCCUGGUAAAUCAAGGCAUGACAGUUAAAGUUGCAGGACAGCCUCAAAAAGCCAUCCUAUUGUGGAAGGAAGCAGUUGGAGG